CAAAUGAUCCUUAUAUACAGCGAGGAGGAUCUGGUCAACCUCUGGAUGCACCUCCAUGUGUGGCCUGCCUUGUGCCUGAAGCCACCAAUGUUGCUGAAUCCCGAGAUCCGCAUCCUACUCGCUACAAGCUGCGAGUUCUCAUCGGUGCAUUCAUGGUUUUGCUGACAUUAAUUGUUGCUCUCAUUGUCUUAUAUCGCCCAUCGGAGGUAUCUUUGAAAUUAUUGGCUUCAGCUAGACACAGAGUCACAACAGUGUCGGCACUACCAUCUUCUACUACUGUCUCAUGCCAUGAGUGAUGGAGCCCCUUUUCCUAGCCCAACAACUAAGCCCUGUACUUUGACACCCUUGACAUCUUUGAGAUCAUCACUCUGGGCUUGUUGUUUAUCAAUUGGGCUAGAGGCCAAAGCAAUAUUCCCUUAAAUGAAAUGGAUUGCCCUAACCAGCCCUGUCUUAUUAGUUUUCCCCAAUCCCUUCAGUGGAGUAGUGGUACUACUCCCAAUCAUAGCCCCAACCUCCCUGGACAAUGGAGAAGGAGAGAAAAUCUUCAAGCCUUUCCACCCAACCCAGUCCCUACUCUGCUUCUUGGCCCCAUAUCUGGUUAGGACUGCUCC